AGGGAAUCUUCCGCAAUGGACGCAAGUCUGACGGAGCAACGCCGCGGGAGUGAUGAAGGUUUUCGGAUCGUAAAACUCUGUUGUUAGGGAAGAACAAGUACGAGAGUAACUGCUCGUACCUUGACGGUACCUAACCAGAAAGCCACGGCUAACUACGUGCCAGCAGCCGCGGUAAUACGUAGGUGGCAAGCGUUGUCCGGAAUUAUUGGGCGUAAAGCGCGCGCAGGCGGUCUUUUAAGUAUGAUGUGAAAGCCCACGGCUCAACCGUGGAGGGUCCUUGGAAACUGGGAGACUUGAGUGCAGAAGAGAAGAGUGGAAUUCCAUGUGUAGCGGUGAAAUGCGUAGAGAUAUGGAGGAACACCAGUGGCGAAGGCGACUCUUUGGUCUGUAACUGACGCUGAGGCGCGAAAGCGUGGGGAGCAAAC
rnacentral:rRNA from 1 species